GUUUUAUAUGGUUUUAUAUAGUUUCCCUAUAUGGUUACCCUAUAUGGUUUUAUAUGGUUACCCUAUAUGGUCUCCCUAUAUGGUUUUAUAUGGUUACCCUAUAUGGUUUUAUAUAGUUUCCCUAUAUGGUUACCCUAUAUGGUUUUAUAUAGUUUCCCUAUAUGGUUACCCUGUAUGGUUUUAUAUAGUUUCCCUAUAUGGUUACCCUAUAUGGUUUUAUUCAAGUGCAUCUCCCAGAGAGGCUUGACUCCAAAUCAGUUGGUGAGCAUCUUAACUGUCCUCUGUUUCGUCCUCUCCUUUGUCUUUUAAUCUACUUGUGUACAUGUAGAAUUGUUUUAUUCUGUCCAUGGCAAUAUUAUUUCCAGUGGACCUUAAGAUUGUCUUGUAUUGCACAUAGAAAACUUCACCUGUUGAUUCACACUGACCUUGUAAUGGGAAUUACAAAUGUUUUUGUAGUUAUUACAUUAUUUCUUUUAAAGUAUUCUUAAGGUAGUUUUGGCAAUAGAGAAGCUAACUUGCAUGGUUGACACUGUUUACAAAUUAGCCAAGAAAAAAUGCUGCAGUUUCCUUUUUCGGACACAGAUUUUAGUCACAGAAACUUCAAGUGGAUGAAAUCAAGAUGAAGUGCAAUUAGAGCAGAUGCAAAAAUCACAGACAUUUAGUUUGAUAUGUCAUUCCACAAAGCAGACAGACAUUUAGUUUGAUAUGUCAUUCCACAAAGCAGACAGACAUUUAGUUUGAUAUGUCAUUCCAUAAAGCAGACAUUUAGUUUGAUAUGUCAUUCCAUAAAGCAGACAGACAUUUAGUUUGAUGUGUCAUUCCAUAAAGCAGACAGACAUUUAGUUUGAUGUGUCAUUCCACAAAGCAGACAGACAUUUAGUUUGAUGUGUCAUUCCACAAAGCAGACAGACAUUUAGUUUGAUGUGUCAUUCCACAAAGCAGACAGACAUUUAGUUUGAUAUGUCAUUCCACAAAGCAGACAGACAUUUAGUUUGAUAUGUCAUUCCAUAAAGCAGACAGACAUUUAGUUUGAUAUGUCAUUCCAUAAAGCAGACAGACAUUUAGUUUGAUAUGUCAUUCCAUAAAGCAGAAAGACAUUUAGUUUGAUAUGUCAUUCCAUAAAGCAGACAGACAUUUAGUUUGAUAUGUCAUUCCAUAAAGCAGAA
ensembl:lncRNA